rnacentral:rRNA from 1 species
GAUCAUGGCUCAGGAUGAACGCUAGCGACAGGCUUAACACAUGCAAGUCGAGGGGCAGCAUAAAAGUAGCAAUACUUGGUGGCGACCGGCGCACGGGUGAGUAACGCGUAUGCAACCUACCUAUCGAGAGGGGAAUAACCCGGCGAAAGUCGGACUAAUACCGCAUAAAACAGGGGCACCGCAUGGUGAUAUUUGUUAAAGAAAUUCGCUGAUAGAUGGGCAUGCGUUCCAUUAGGUAGUUGGUGAGGUAACGGCUCACCAAGCCGACGAUGGAUAGGGGAACUGAGAGGUUGGUCCCCCACACUGGUACUGAGACACGGACCAGACUCCUACGGGAGGCAGCAGUGAGGAAUAUUGGUCAAUGGGCGGGAGCCUGAACCAGCCAAGUCGCGUGAAGGAAGAAGGAUCUAUGGUUCGUAAACUUCUUUUGCAGGGGAAUAAAGUGCAGGACGUGUCCUGUUUUGUAUGUACCCUGAGAAUAAGGAUCGGCUAACUCCGUGCCAGCAGCCGC